UGGGGAAUAUUGGACAAUGGGCGCAAGCCUGAUCCAGCCAUGCCGCGUGAGUGAUGAAGGCCCUAGGGUUGUAAAGCUCUUUCACCGGUGAAGAUAAUGACGGUAACCGGAGAAGAAGCCCCGGCUAACUUCGUGCCAGCAGCCGCGGUAAUACGAAGGGGGCUAGCGUUGUUCGGAUUUACUGGGCGUAAAGCGCACGUAGGCGGACUUUUAAGUCAGGGGUGAAAUCCCGGGGCUCAACCCCGGAACUGCCUUUGAUACUGGAAGUCUUGAGUAUGGUAGAGGGGAGUGGAAUUCCGGGUGUAGAGGUGAAAUUCGUAGAUAUUCGGAGGAACACCAGUGGCGAAGGCGGCUCACUGGACCAUUACUGACGCUGAGGUGCGAAAGCGUGGGGAGCAAACAGG
rnacentral:rRNA from 1 species